UUAUAGAUAACAAAGUCAAAAUGUGGUGUCUGUCUAGCGGUAUUAAAGUUGUAGUAUAUUUAAAUAAUUUUCUGAUAAUUUAUAUACUAAAUGUCUGGAUAUGGUGUGUAACCGUACUGUGGCCUGGUGUAGUGUAGUGAUUGUAAUGUGGUUAUACAAGGCCUGAGACUAGUGAAUUAUGGCAUAAAGAAACAACUUUAACCCAAAAUCUGUCUUCACUAAAAGAGGAUUUGGCCAAGGCCGAUCAAGCUCUGUGGUCUAGAGAGAUGGCGUCGGUCCCAAUCGGUGCCUAGUUCUGGAGAGCUUAGUCGUCAGUUCGACUCCAUAAGCUUCGAGUUCAGCGGUUCCUGUUACUCAUCAUGCAGCUGCAGUUACUGCCGGCUGAGGGACUGUGCGCAUGAUUGUGUCAGAAGAAAUCCUGAAAUCCCGUCAAGCACUUUGGAUGUCAGCCGAUGGUCACAUGAUGCUGUACGCCACAUUCAAUGAUACACUGGUUCACGAGCAGAAGUACCCCUGGUAUGGAACCGCUUUGGACACAGAUGACCCUUCAA